UACGUAGGGGGCAAGCGUUGUCCGGAUUUAUUGGGCGUAAAGAGCGUGUAGGCGGCCCGAUAAGUCCGCCGUGAAAGUCCAGGGCUCAACCCUGGAAUGCCGGUGGAAACUGUCGGGCUGGAGUCCGGAAGAGGCGAGUGGAAUUCCUGGUGUAGCGGUGAAAUGCGCAGAUAUCAGGAGGAGCACCAAUGGCGAAGGCAGCUCGCUGGGACGGUACUGACGCUGAGACGCGAAAGCGUGGGGAGCAAACAGG
rnacentral:rRNA from 1 species